AUGAGUUGUAUCUGCUGGAACUGUCGGGGGCUUGGGAACCCCGAGACAGUUCGAGAGCUUCGCAGCAUUGUGAAGCAAGAAGGACCCUCCCUACACUUCGUUAUGGAGACGAAGAUUAGAGGAAAACGUGUGGAGAAAUUACAGCAUAACCUUGGCUUUAAUGGUUGUUUUGCCAUUGAUAGCGUAGGUCUGAGUGGUGGAAUUGGCCUUUUUUUGUCAAGAGAUGUUACAGUUGAACUCAAGAACUACAAUGUUAAUCACAUUGAUGUACUAGUGCAUAAUUUGGAUCAAAACUCUCUUGAGUGGAGAUUUACUGGUUUUUACGGUGCGCCAAGAGCAGAGGACAGAACCCAUAGCUGGACUGUACUGCGUACUCUUCAUGCUCUUCCGCACUCGAUGUGGCUCUGUAUGGGAGACUUCAAUGAAACCUUGUACGCUUCUGAACACUUUAGUAAUCAUGCUAGACAUGGGUCGAAUGCGUGCGUUUUGUGA
rnacentral:rRNA from 1 species